rnacentral:rRNA from 1 species
UACGGAGGGUGCAAGCGUUAUCUGGAUUUACUGGGUUUAAAGGGUGCGUAGGUGGGUCUGUAAGUCAGUGGUGAAAUCUCCGGGCUUAACCCGGAAACUGCCAUUGAUACUAUAGGUCUUGAAUAUCCUGGAGGUGAGCGGAAUAUGUCAUGUAGCGGUGAAAUGCUUAGAUAUGACAUAGAACACCAAUUGCGAAGGCAGCUCACUACGGGAUUAUUGACACUGAGGCACGAAAGCGUGGGGAUCAAACAGG